GAUGAACGCUGGCGGCGUGCCUAAUACAUGCAAGUCGAGCGAACCACUUCGGUGUGAGCGGCGAACGGGUGAGUAACACGUAGGUGAUCUGCCCAUCAGACGGGGACAACGAUUGGAAACGAUCGCUAAUACCGGAUAGGACGAAAGUUUAAAGGUGCUUCUGGCACCGCUGAUGGAUGAGCCUGCGGCGCAUUAGCUAGUUGGUAGGGUAAAGGCCUACCAAGGCGACGAUGCGUAGCCGACCUGAGAGGGUGAACUGCCACACUGGGACUGGGACACGGCCCAGACUCCUACGGGAGGCGGCAGUAGGGAAUCUUCGGCAAUGGGGUAAAGCCUGACCGAGCAACGCCGCGUGAAUGAUGAAGGCCUUCGGGUUGUAAAAUUCUGUUAUAAGGGAAGAACGACUUUAGUAGGAAAUGGCUAGAGUGUGACGGUACCUUAUGAGAAAGCCACGGCUAACUACGUGCCAGCAGCCGCAGUAA
rnacentral:rRNA from 1 species